UACAGAGGUCUCAAGCGUUGUUCGGAUUCAUUGGGCGUAAAGGGCGCGUAGGCUGCGGGGCAAGUCGGGUGUGAAAUCUCAGAGCUCAACUCUGAAACUGCACUCGAUACUGCUUUGCUUGAGGACUGGAGAGGAGAUUGGAAUUCACGGUGUAGCGGUGAAAUGCGUAGAUAUCGUAAGGAAGACCAGUGGCGAAGGCGGGUCUCUGGACAGUUCCUGACGCUGAGGCACGAAGGCCAGGGGAGCAAACGGG
rnacentral:rRNA from 1 species